AUACUUACCUGACGCGGGAGGCACGGUGAUCAGGAAGGCCGUCCUCUCAGGGCGAGGCGGGGACAUUGCACGAAGUACCGGCUGACCUCUGCGAUUUCCCCACUAGGGGAAACUCGGGCGUAUAAUUUUUGUUCUGGAGGUUGCGUUCGCGCAGCCUCUC
rnacentral:snRNA from 1 species